rnacentral:rRNA from 1 species
AUACGUAGGGGGCGAGCGUUGUCCGGAAUGAUUGGGCGUAAAGGGCGCGUAGGCGGCCCGGUAAGUCUGGAGUGAAAGUCCUGUUUUUAAGAUGGGAAUUGCUUUGGAUACUGUCGGGCUUGAGUGCAGGAGAGGUAAGUGGAAUUCCCAGUGUAGCGGUGAAAUGCGUAUAGAUUGGGAGGAACACCAGUGGCGAAGGCGACUUACAAGACUUUAACUGAAGAUUAGGCGCGAAGGUGUGGUGAGCAACCAGGAUGAGAUACCCGGGUAGUCCACACUGUAAACGAGGAAUGUUACGUGUAGGGGGUAUCGACCCCUCCUGCGCCGCAGUCAACACAAUAAGCAUUCAGCCUGGGGAGUCCGGCCGCAAGGUUGAAACUCAAAUGAAUCGACGGUG